GUCCGGAUUGGAGUCUGCAACUCGACUCCAUGAAGUCGGAAUCGCUAGUAAUCGUGGAUCAGAAUGCCACGGUGAAUACGUUCCCGGGCCUUGUACACACCGCCCGUCACACCAUGGGAGUGGGUUGCAAAAGAAGUAGGUAGCUUAACCUUCGGGAGGGCGCUUACCACUUUGUGAUUCAUGACUGGGGUGAAGUCGUAACAAGGUAACCGUAGGGGAACCUGCGGUUGGAUCACCUCCUUACCUUAAAGAAGC
rnacentral:rRNA from 4 species